rnacentral:rRNA from 1 species
AUUGAACGCUGGCGGCAGGCCUAACACAUGCAAGUCGAACGAGUGGCGGACGGGUGAGUAAUGUAUGGGAAACUGCCUGAUGGAGGGGGAUAACUACUGGAAACGGUAGCUAAUACCGCAUACCAUCGGAUGUGCCCAGAUGGGAUUUGCUAGUAGGUGGGGUAAAGGCUCACCUAGGCGACGAUCCCUAGCUGGUCUGAGCGGAUGACCGGCCACAAUGGAACUGAGGAACGGGCCCGAAUCCUACGGGAGGCAGCAGGGGGGGAUAUUGCGCAAUUGGCUGAAGGCUUAAGCAGUCAUGCCGCGUGUAUGGAGAAGGGUUUCGGGUUGUAAAGUCCUUUUCGCGGGGAGGCGUUACCCGACCAAAAAGCACCGGCUAACUCCGUGCCAGCAGCCGCGGUAAUUC